rnacentral:rRNA from 1 species
GGAGUUAGCCGGUGCUUCUUCUGCGAGUAACGUCACAGAUGUAAGGUAUUAACUUACACCCUUUCCUCCUCGCUGAAAGUGCUUUACAACCCGAAGGCCUUCUUCACACACGCGGCAUGGCUGCAUCAGGGUUUCCCCCAUUGUGCAAUAUUCCCCACUGCUGCCUCCCGUAGGAGUCUGGGCCGUGUCUCAGUCCCAGUGUGGCUGAUCAUCCUCUCAGACCAGCUAGGGAUCGUCGCCUAGGUGAGCCUUUACCUCACCUACUAGCUAAUCCCACCUGGGCUUAUCCAUCAGCGCAAGGCCCGAAGGUCCCCUGCUUUCCCCCGUAGGGCGUAUGCGGUAUUAGCAGUCGUUUCCAACUGUUAUCCCCCACAAAUGGGCAAAUUCCCAGGCAUUACUCACCCGUCCGCCGCUCGUCAUCUUCAAAGCAAGCUUUUGAAAUGUUACCGCUCGACUUGCAUGUGUUAGGCCUGCCGCCAGCGUUCAAUCUGAGCCAGUAAUCAAACUCUGA